rnacentral:rRNA from 1 species
GACGAACGCUGGCGGCGUGCUUAACACAUGCAAGUCGAACGAAGAGCGAUGGAAGCUUGCUUCUAUCAAUCUUAGUGGCGCACGGGUGAGUAACGCGUAAUCAACCUGCCCUUCAGAGGGGGACAACAGUUGGAAACGACUGCUAAUACCGCAUACGAUCUAAUCUCGGCAUCGAGGAUAGAUGAAAGGUGGCCUCUACAUGUAAGCUAUCACUGAAGGAGGGGAUUGCGUCUGAUUAGCUAGUUGGAGGGGUAACGGCCCACCAAGGCGAUGAUCAGUAGCCGGUCUGAGAGGAUGAACGGCCACAUUGGGACUGAGACACGGCCCAGACUCCUACGGGAGGCAGCAGUGGGGAAUCUUCCGCAAUGGACGAAAGUCUGACGGAGCAACGCCGCGUGAGUGAUGACGGCCUUCGGGUUGUAAAGCUCUGUUAAUCGGGACGAAAGGCCUUCUUGCGAAUAGGGAGAAGGAUUGACGGUACCGGAAGAGAAAGCCACGGCUAACUACGUG